AACAACACCCACUGCCGCCCACCACCGCUCACUGCGUGCCUCUUCCUUAUCCACACACAACACACAACACACAUCAGCCAUUCCACCUCCUCUUCUUCAUCCACCCCGAUCUAGCCCACGAACAGCUUGGCCUAGCCUUCCCACUGUGCGCAGCCGUGGUGGCUGGCGGGGGCCAGGGCAGCAACCCCCCUGUCGGUGAGGAACCACGAGAGGACGCCAUGGAUGGCGGUUUGGAGCUGCGUCGCCCGAUCUGGCCGCCAGCCCAGUAUCUGAUCCCUGCGUCGGCUUCGGCUCGAUUCGGACGUCCAUAGCCUCCGCCACCUGCGCAUGCCCUAGGUCCGGCCGAUGAUCUCGCGCCGCUUCGUCUGCUCGCGUUGACCCCGAGAAGGCCAACGCCUCGUCGUCCAGCCGCGGCCCGGCCUGUGACGGCGGCGGCGGCGGCAUCCCCGUGCCGUGGUGGUGGAGCUCUCCGGUGGGUGGCUGGGCGACAGGGGAUGCGGGGCUGGCUCGGUUGCUCGCCAGAUCGGCAGGCCUGUGUGGAGGCGCGGGAGGCGGUCUGGCGCAGCGCCUGCUGUGUGUCGUCCUCGGCAGCUGCCUGGCGGGAUGCGUUGUGGUGGUGCCGUGUGCACUGCGGCUGCCAAUGCAGGGAGGGAGAGGAGGGCGAUGCGAGCGGGUGCGGGUGGAUGCGGGUGACUCCUUUUUUUCCCCGACGAACCGUUAUUUUCACUUAUGCACGUGACUGCGGGUUAAUUACCAACAAACAAAGGGACUUUUCUGUAAAAACGCCGCCGACGUACGACAUAAACCCAAUUCUCUUUAUUAUUAGAGCAGAUAUAUUGCCUUUGAAUUUACUUCUAUCUGGAGAGGGACAGGUCUGUAGUAGAUUUGUUUUCAAAACAAAUCUCUAAGGUGAGGAUAGGGGUAGCGAUGGAGAAAUGGUGUAGAUGGUGGCUGAGAGGGAGGGGCCGAAAGAAAUACGUCCACAUUUGUAGCUAUAGAGUAACUGGUGAACACAUACUUUGCUUGUUUAUAUUUUCCAGAAUAGUACUCCCUCCGUCCGAAAAUACUUGUCAGAAAAAUGGAUAAAAAUGAAUAUAUCUAAAACUAAAAUAUGUCUAGAUACAUUCAUUUCUCCGACAAGUAUUUUUGGACAGAGGGAGUAUAAAGGAAUGGCGUGUGUCGUCUGUAACAUGCCCCCUUUGUUUGAAUAUUCAACCAGGAGCAAUUUCAUCUCAUUUGGCAACGAGCAUUGAGACGUUUUUUUGUUGUCAAAAAAGGUCUUAUAUUUUGACAUAGAGGGAGUAUCUCUUAGCAACCACUAGACAUUUUUGUAAUAUAUCUGUGCAUUCUACCCUGCCUAGAGUUUUGGUUAUUUUGGCCCUUCCAUGCAUUGAAUUCAGAAACACUUUCAAAACUGGGCCAGUUUCAGAAUUCAUGCAAAUGAAUGCUAUAUCGAGUGAAAUCGGCGUUUUUUUUUUUACUAAUGUCACUUUUGACAGUAUGAAGAUACUGCCCUGAAACCCUGAUGUUAACAGCUCAAAGAAGGCAUUACAGAAAAAGUUGUUGCCGUUUUUGUCAUUCUGAGGACAUGGUACGUGAGGUUGAUGGAAGUUUGGGUGGUUCGAUUAUUAUAACUCUCAGAACAAAAGUUCUACCGUGACAUUAUGUUCGUGCUGUAAGCUUGAGUGGGUUACCUCACAACAAUCUGUAAGCUUGGAUCACAAUUUGGCACCCAAAAUAUUGUGAGAUUU